rnacentral:piRNA from 1 species
UGGUCAGAUGUUAUUUGUUUA